rnacentral:tRNA from 1 species
GGUCAGAUAGUCUAGUGGCAAAGGACGAUUUGGUAGAAUAUUCGGUGGUUUUCUUAUAAACAAUACGAAGAUCAUCGAACACCAAAUAGGCGGGGUUCAAUUCCCUCUCUGGCCA